GUCGAGAAUCUUCCGCAAUGCGCGAAAGCGUGACGGAGCGACACCGCGUGAUGGAUGAAGUCCUUCGGGGCGUAAACAUCUUUUAUAAAGGAGGAAAUUUUUGACGUUACUUUAUGAAUAAGGGGCUCCCAAUCUCGUGCCAGCAGGAGCGGUAAUACGAGAGCCUCAAGCGUUAUCCGGAAUCAUUGGGCGUAAAGGGUGCGUAGGUGGUUUGAUUAGUCUCUCGUUAAAACUUCGAGCUUAACUCGAAAAGAGCGGGGGAAACGGUCAAACUAGAGUAUGUGAGAGGUGUGUGGAACUCAUGGUGUAGGGGUGAAAUCCGUUGAUAUCAUGGGGAACACCAAAAGCGAAGGCAGCACACUGGCACAUCACUGACACUGAGGCACGAAACCUAAGGUAGCGAAUGGGAUUAGAAACCCUGGUAGUCC
rnacentral:rRNA from 1 species